ACCUACGGGAGGCAGCAGUAGGGAAUAUUGCGCAAUGGACGAAAGUCUGACGCAGCAACGCCGCGUGUGGGAUGAAGCUCCUUGGAGUGUAAACCACUGUCGGGAGGGACGAACGAUUGCGACUCUAACAUAGUCGCAGUUUGACUGUACCUUCAGAGGAAGCUCCGGCUAACUCCGUGCCAGCAGCCGCGGUAAUACGGGGGGAGCAAGCGUUGUUCGGAAUCACUGGGCGUAAAGGGUGCGCAGGCGGGAGAUUAAGUCGGAUGUGAAAACCUCGGGCUCAACCCGAGGCCUGCAUUUGAAACUGAUCUUCUUGAGUAUCGGAGAGGAAAGUGGAACUCCAGGUGUAGCGGUGAAAUGCGUAGAUAUCUGGAGGAACACCUGUGGCGAAGGCGGCUUUCUGGCCGAAUACUGACGCUCAUGCACGAAGGCUAGGGGAGCAAACAGGAUUAGAUACCCGUGUAGUCCC
rnacentral:rRNA from 1 species